GAGUUUGAUCAUGGCUCACCNUUNANGCUGGCGGCAGGCCUAACACAUGCAAGUCGAACGGUNNCAGGAUGUGCUUGCACAUCGCUGACGAGUGGCGGACGGGUGAGUAAUGCUUGGGAACAUGCCUUUGUGAGGGGGAUAACAGUUGGAAACGACUGCUAAUACCGCAUAACGUCUUUGGACCAAAGGGGGCUUAGGCUCUCGCGCAAAGAGUGGCCCAAGUGAGAUUAGCUAGUUGGUGAGGUAAAGGCUCACCAAGGCGACGAUCUCUAGCUGUUCUGAGAGGAAGAUCAGCCACACUGGGACUGAGACACGGCCCAGACUCCUACGGGAGGCAGCAGUGGGGAAUAUUGCACAAUGGGGGGAACCCUGAUGCAGCCAUGCCGCGUGUGAAGAAGGCCUUCGGGUUGUAAAGCACUUUCAGUUGUGAGGAAAAGUUAGUAGUUAAUACCUGCUAACCGUGACGUUAGCAACAGAAGAAGCACCGGCUAACUCCGUGCCAGCAGCCGCGGUAAUACGGAGGGUGCGAGCGUUAAUCGGAAUUACUGGGCGUAAAGCGCACGCAGGCGGUUAUUUAAGCUAGAAGUGAAAGCCCCGGGCUCAACCUGGGAAGGCCUUUUAGAACUGGAUGACUAGAGUCUUGGAGAGGGGAGUGGAAUUCCACGUGUAGCGGUGAAAUGCGUAGAUAUGUGGAGGAACAUCAGUGGCGAAGGCGACUCCCUGGCCAAAGACUGACGCUCAUGUGCGAAAGUGUGGGUAGCGAACAGGAUUAGAUACCCCUGGUAGUCCACACCGUAAACGAUGUCUACUAGCUGUUUGUGUAUUUUAUACGUGAGNAGCGCANCUAAACGCGAUAANUAAAACCGCCNUGGGGGAGUACGGCCGCCAAGGGUUUAAAACCUCCAAAUUGAAAUUGACGGGGGGC
rnacentral:rRNA from 1 species